rnacentral:rRNA from 1 species
CAGCAGCCGCGGUAAUACGGAGGGGGCUAGCGUUGUUCGGAAUUACUGGGCGUAAAGCGCACGUAGGCGGCUUGGUAAGUUAGAGGUGAAAGCCCGGAGCUCAACUCCGGAAUUGCCUUUAAGACUGCCGAGCUAGUAGGUGAGAGAGGUAAGUGGAAUUCCGAGUGUAGAGGUGAAAUUCGUAGAUAUUCGGAAGAACACCAGUGGCGAAGGCGGCUUACUGGCUCAUUCUAGACGCUGAGGUGCGAAAGCGUGGGGAGCAAACAGGAUUAGAGACCCGCGUAGUCCCUGUCUCUUAUAC